UGCCCUUUAAGCCACCUCCAAGCCCCAGACCAGUUCACAGGCCAGAUACAAUAUUGGGGAAGCCGUAUGAAGAUAUUAAAUUGCACUACACACUGGGGAAGGAAUUAGGCAGGGGUCAAUUUGGUGUCACAUAUCUGUGCACGGAUAUUGAAACUGGAAGACAAUAUGCUUGCAAGUCCAUAUCAAAGAAGAAGCUUGUUACCAAAGGUGACAAGGAGGAUAUGAGACGAGAGAUUCAGAUUAUGCAGCAUUUAAGUGGACAGCCAAACAUAGUUGAAUUUAAGGGUGCUUAUGAGGAUAAGCAUUCAGUUCACCUUGUGAUGGAGUUGUGUGCUGGUGGAGAGCUUUUUGAUCGAAUUAUUGCCAAGGGACACUACAGUGAAAAAGCUGCAGCUUCAAUCUGCAGGGCUAUUGUCAAUGUUGUUCAUGUCUGCCAUUUUAUGGGUGUGAUGC
rnacentral:lncRNA from 1 species